ensembl:misc_RNA 7SK 7SK RNA
AGAUGUGAGGUCAUCUGGCUGCGACAUCUGCCACCCCAGUGACCGCCAGGGUGGAUUCGGCUGAUCUGGCCGGCUAGGCGGGUGUCCCCUUCCUCCCUCACCGCCCCAUGUGCGUCCCUCCCGCAGCUGUGCGCUCGGUCGAAGAGGACAGCCUUCCCCGAAUAGAGACGGACGAACGGACGGGUCUUCGGUCGAGGGUACAUGAGUAGCUGCGCUCCUCUCCCCCUGCUAGAACCUCCAAACAAGCUCUCAGAGAGCAGCUCUAAAGCUGCUUGCUUUGAGGUUUGCCUUUGUGCGCCGUAAUUUUGCCGUAUGACUUUGACAGAGUACUGAGGGGUUUCUAC